rnacentral:rRNA from 1 species
GACGAACGCUGGCGGCGUGCUUAACACAUGCAAGUCGAACGGUAAGGCCUUUCGGGGUACACGAGUGGCGAACGGGUGAGUAACACGUGGGUGAUCUGCCCUGCACUUCGGGAUAAGCUUGGGAAACUGGGUCUAAUACCGGAUAGGACCACGGUCUGCAUGGAUUGUGGUGGAAAGCUUUUGCGGUGUGGGAUGGGCCCGCGGCCUAUCAGCUUGUUGGUGGGGUGAUGGCCUACCAAGGCGACGACGGGUAGCCGGCCUGAGAGGGUGUCCGGCCACACUGGGACUGAGAUACGGCCCAGACUCCUACGGGAGGCAGCAGUGGGGAAUAUUGCACAAUGGGCGCAAGCCUGAUGCAGCGACGCCGCGUGGGGAUGAAGCCUUCGGGCGUAACCCAUGUUGUAGGGACGAAGAAAGUGACGGUACCCUACGAGAAAGCCCGGCCAACUAACGUG